rnacentral:rRNA from 15 species
GGGUGCGAUAAUGCCAGCACUAAAUCAUCGGAUCCCAUCAGAACUCUGAAGUUAAGCGUGCUUGGGCAAGAGUAGAACUAGGAUGGGUGACCCCUUGGGAAGUCCUCGUGUUGCACUCC